rnacentral:rRNA from 1 species
AGCGAACGUUAGCGGCGGGCCUAACACAUGCAAGUCGAACGCGAAAGGUCUUCGGACUGAGUAGAGUGGCGCACGGGUGAGUAACACGUAGGUAAUCUACCCUUCAGCCUGGGAUAACGACUCGAAAGGGUCGCUAAUACCGGAUACGGCGCGAGAGGCUUCGGCUUCUCACGAGAAAGCCACGCAAGGGGCACUGAAGGACGAGCCUGCGGCCCAUCAGCUAGUUGGUGAGGUAAGAGCUCACCAAGGCUAAGACGGGUAGCUGGUCUGAGAGGAUGAUCAGCCACACUGGAACUGAGACACGGUCCAGACUCCUACGGGAGGCAGCAGUGGGGAAUCUUAGACAAUGGGCGCAAGCCUGAUCUAGCCAUGCCGCGUGAGUGAUGAAGGCCUUAGGGUUGUAAAGCUCUUUCAGAUGGGAAGAUAAUGACGGUACCAUCAGAAGAAGCCCCGGCUAACUCCGUGCCAGCAGCCGCGGUAAAGUACAG